rnacentral:rRNA from 1 species
CUGGUGCCAGCAGCCGCGGUAAUUCCAGCUCCAAUAGCGUAUAUUAAAGUUGUUGACAGUUAAAAGCUCGUAGUUGAAUUUCGAGAUCGGCUUACUGGUCGUGCUUUUGUACGUACUGGUAUAAUCGGUUUCUCUCUUCUGACGAACUAUAAUGCCAUUAAUUUGGUGUUUUAGGGAAUCAGGACUGUUACUUUGAAAAAUUAGAGUGUUUAAAGCAGGCUCACGCUUGAAUACAUUAGCAUGGAAUAACGGAAUAGGACGUUUGAUUCUAUUUUGUUGGUUUCUAGGAUCGACGUAAUGAUUAAUAGGGAUAGUUGGGGGCAUUAGUAUUCAAUUGUCAGAGGUGAAAUUCUUGGAUUUAUUGAAGACUAACUACUGCGAAAGCAUUUGCCAAGGAUGUUUUCAUUAAUCAAGAACGAAAGUUAGGGGGAUCGAAGACGAUCAGAUACCGUCGUAGUCUUAACCAUAAACUAUGCCGACUAGGGAUCGGAUGAUGUUAAUUUUUUAAUGACUCAUUCGGCGCCUUACG